rnacentral:lncRNA from 1 species
UGCGCAUGCCCAGCGUGCCAAACCGAGAAGGUUAAAUGCGCAUGCCCAGCGUGCAAAACCGAGCAGUUUAACUACGCAUGCUCAGCGUGCAAUGGAUUUAAGUGUUCAUCGGCUUACUGUUCUAGUUUGAAAGAUAUAUGAUAUUUCUUUCAAAUUUUAUUUUUGAUUUGAAAUUUAUCUUUUUGAUCAUUUCCGUAAAGAUUUUUUUUUUUUGUAAACAGUAUACCCGGAAAGUAGUGUAGACAGGAUAUAGUAGAUAUUGUCUACGUCAUAAAAAGACGGCAGUUCCACUGCUUAUCAAAGCGGCGACCCUGAAAUUCUAUAUCGCCAAGAAUUUGGAUUCGCAUUCCAUCAGUAAGUGUUGAAAUGUAACUAAAGUUACGCUUGAUUUUAUUGAGCACUAUGUACAGUAUGAUAAACACAGAUAUAAAAUAUAGCUUCAGUGUAUCUCACAUAAUUUCGCGCAUUUGAAAGAUUGUUAAUACAAGCGCGCAAAUGUAAUUACAAUCAAAUUGACUAACAGUGGUGACUUCCCUUUAAUAAUUUUACACCAUUUGCUGUCAACGAAGGUGUUGUCAUCAGCUGUUGAAAAUGUGAAAUAUUCAUGUUGGUUUUACUAGUUCUGCGAUGUGUGUGCAAGUUCCACAUCUGAGCACUGUAAGGUCUGGCAGCAAAAUAAAGAUAUAUUCAAAUGGAUCUUGUGCUGUGUCUCACAUCUGACAUCAUACUAGAAAAGGGUCAUGUAAACCUAACAAAAAGUCAUGCGAAUGGACAUCAAAAUGUUGACACAGAUCGGUAUUUGAGACUUAAAUAUUCAGGAUAUAACUUCAUAAAACUGGCGGAUAAACCAAACUGCGAAGGUGCUUUCGAAUGGCAAGUAAAACAGUUGUGUCUCUUCGUAGGAACGAUGAUACAAUAUUUACGUAUGCAUUCAAAUGAUGCUGUUCAAGGUAACAAUCAAAUGAUGCUGUUCAAGGUAACAAGAAGAAGUUAACAUUUGGCAG